rnacentral:rRNA from 1 species
UACGAAGGGGGCUAGCGUUGCUCGGAAUUACUGGGCGUAAAGGGCGCGUAGGCGGCACUGUUAGUCAGGCGUGAAAGUCCUGGGCUCAACCUGGGAACUGCGCUUGAUACGGCAGAGCUAGAGGAUGGAAGAGGGUCGCGGAAUUCCCAGUGUAGAGGUGAAAUUCGUAGAUAUCAGGAGGAACACCGGUGGCGAAGGCGGGUCUCUGGGCCAUUACUGACGCUGAGGAGCGAAAGCGUGGGGAG